rnacentral:rRNA from 1 species
AGUGAACGCUGGCGGUAGGCCUAACACAUGCAAGUCGAACGGCAGCACAGUAAGAGCUUGCUCUUACGGGUGGCGAGUGGCGGACGGGUGAGGAAUAAAUCGGACUCUACUUUUUCGUGGGGGAUAACGUAGGGAAACUUACGCUAAUACCGCCUACGACCUACGGGUGAAAGCAGGGGAUCUUCGGCCCUUGCGCGAUUGAAUGAGCCGAUGUCGGAUUAGCUAGUUGGCGGGGUAAAGGCCCACCAAGGCGACGAUCCGUAGCUGGUCUGAGAGAAUGAUCAGCCACACGGGAACUGAGACACGGUCCAGACGCCUACGGGAGGCAGCAGUGGGGAAUGUUGGACAGUAGGCGCAAGCCUGAUCCAGCCAGACCGCGUGGGUGAAGAAGGCCUUCGGGUUGUAAAGCCCUUUUGUUGGGAAAGAAAAGCAGCAGGUUAAUACCCCGCUGUUCUGACGGUACCCAAAGAAUAAGCACCGGCUAACUUCGUG